AUUUUUUAUUUUCCUCAUGGAGAAUCGMUAUG
rfam:Escherichia coli O157:H7 EDL933, complete genome.